rnacentral:rRNA from 1 species
CCUACGGGAGGCAGCAGUGAGGAAUAUUGGUCUAUGGACGAGAGUCUGAACCAGCCAAGUAGCGUGAAGGAUGACUGCCCUAUGGGUUGUAAACUUCUUUUAUAAAGGAAUAAAACGAGGCACGUGUGCCCUUUUGCAUGUACUUUAUGAAUAAGGAUCGGCUAACUCCGUGCCAGCAGCCGCGGUAAUACGGAGGAUCCGAGCGUUAUCCGGAUUUAUUGGGUUUAAAGGGAGCGUAGAUGGGUUGUUAAGUCAGUUGUGAAAGUUUGCGGCUCAACCGUAAAAUUGCAAUUGAUACUGGCAGUCUUGAGUACAGUUGAGGUAGGCGGAAUUCGUGGUGUAGCGGUGAAAUGCUUAGAUAUCACGAAGAACCCCGAUUGCGAAGGCAGCUUACUAAACUGUGACUGACAUUGAUGCUCGAAAGUGUGGGUAUCAAACAGGAUUAGAUACCCCUGUAGUC